AUCUACACACCGUGUCACAAGAGACCCCCAGACCACAGCCUUCCAGAAGCCUCCAUCUACACACCGUGUCACAAGAGACCCUCACACUACAGCCUUCCAGAAGCCUCCAUCUACAUACCAUGUCACAGGAGACCCUCAGACCGCAGCCUUCCAGAAGCCUCCAUCUACACACCAUGUCACAAGAGACCCUCAGACUACAGCCUUCCAGAAGCCUCCAUCUACAUACCAUGUCACAGGAGACUCUCAGGCUGCAGCCUCCCAGAAGCCUCCUGAGGAAAGCAGGGCUUCAUCUGAAGACAGGUCACUGGCACUAAGCUUACUUGUUUUUUUGAGACAGGGUCUCUGUCUGUCGCCCAGGCUGGAGAAUAGUGGUGUGAUCACGGCUCACUGUAGCCUCGACCUCCUCAGGCUCAGGUGAUUCUCCUACCUCAGCCUCCCCAGUAGCAGGGACUACAGGUGCUCACCACCAUACUCAGCUAAUUUUGUAUUUUUUGUAGAGACGGGGUUUCACCAUGUUGCCCAAGCUGGUCUCAAACUCCUGAGCUCAAGCCAUCCACCCACCUCGGCCUCCCCAAAUCCUGGGAUUACAGAUGCGAACUACCGUGCUGGGCCUAAUCUUACUGUUUUAAUGUAAAAAUGGACAGUCUUGAGGAAGACAGAUUGGAAAGCAGAGAGACACAGUGUGAAAUCGCUGCUCUCAGAUCAGCACACGGGAGAGGCCAGCAGUCAGGAGGGGGCUCACCGAGUUUGUCUGCACUCGCUCCCUCCGCAGCCGCCCUCUCCAGCUGGAAGAAGUCGUAAUCGAACCUGCUCAGGUCCUCACUGCCCCACUCCGAAGGAAACCCCACGUACAGGUGAGGUCAGAGGAGUGAAGUGACUUGCCCAAGACCACACAGUGAGUCAGGAGCAGGCCUGUCCCUCCAGCAGUGGUGCCAUGUUGUCCCCAAGCCAUGGUGGCAGAGGAGCUGGUGUGAACGCCCCAUCCUGCCACGUCUGUGAUGUGGGCACCUCACAUGACUGUCCCCUCCCAGCUCUUGGGGGGGACCUAGGACAUUCUGUGAGCCUGCAGGAAAGUUUACCAAAUGCUGCAGCUUUGUCCUGGUGGUGAUGGGCACCCCGUUAACGGCAACCUUGCAUUUGCUAUGUGGAGUGACCGUCACUUUACCGUCGGCAUUUGUGAAGGAAGCGUGUUUAUCUGAAAUUCUAAGAAGAUGAGAGUCAAAGACACCCAGCAAACGGCGGUUUCCGUGAGCAGGGUUGGAGCCCAGGAAGCAAACCAGCACUGCACCCUAGAUUUCAGCCAGAGGACGAAAGCCCUGCCCUCAGCUUUCUCAGACCAGCCCUGGAGUAGGUGGCCCGGGGAGACCUGGGCAGUGUCCCUGCUUGUCCUGCAGACUGUGUGGCUCUGCAGACCUCUAGAUGGAGGAGGCACAAUUCUCUAAUGCUGGACGAGGACACUGAUCAUGGAAACUCACCCCAAACCUUGAAUCGUGAUAGCAUUUGAGGCAGCCUGACCGGUGCCACAUGAACCUGAAAGGAAUCAAGAUAUAAUUUAUUUUGAAAAUAAAUCAGACACUUUCAGAAUUUGAGCGUAAGAAGUUAACAUGUCUGAUGCGUUGGAAGUGACGUUUUCUCUACAGUGGGAUGGUACUGAAGGGAUUUUUCCAGUUGGGAUUUUCAAUCAUAAUGGUACUUAGACAUACUUUUCUUUCUGCCUUGUGUGUGGGGGGAAGAGCGGGGAUGUUCCUAACUUUUAAAAAGUUCCACCUUCUUCAUGAGCAUUCUGGAGGAAGACACCAUUAGGUCUGGGCCUUAGGAGACCCACUGAAUACUGGCCACAGCAGAGGUUCUGGUGUUUGAAGCUCCGUUUCUGUGUAGUGACUGACCCCAAGGAGUGCAGACAUGUCACCCCCCACAUCCCCACAUCCCACGGCCAUCUCGCACGGAGCCCUCGCGGCCGCCCUGGGGGGUGCACGGAGCCCUCGCGGCGGCCCUGGGGGGUGCACGGAGCCCUUGCGGCCGUCCUUGGGGUGCUCGGAGCCCUCGCGGCCGUCCUGGGGGUGCACGGAGCCCUCGCGGCCGUCCUGGGGGUGCACAGCCGGGGAGGGGAAGCCAGGGGCUCCUGCGGUUCUGGGCGCUGUGUUCCAACCUGUUCAGCACUCAUUUAGGUCAGGAAGACAAUUCAACAGCUGAUGCCCUCCUCAGAAACCGCUAAACAAAAAUGUAACAAGAACGAUGCCAGGAUAAUAGAUGAAUAAAACGUGCUGUAUACAUCCGAGGGAAUGGUUUUCAGCCUUCAAGAGGAAGGAAAUUCUCACACAUGCUACAUGGAUGCACCUUGAGGACAUUCUGCUGAGGGCAUAAGCCAGUGAGAGAUGGAUGAAAAGGUCCUUAUCUGAGGUCCCCCAUCGUCAAAUCCACAGAGACAGAAGGUGGGACACUGGCUUCCAGGGCUGGAGGGGGAGGGGUUAUCUGAGGUCCCCCCAUUGUCAAACGCACAGAGACAGAAGGUGGGACAGUGGCUGCUGGACUGGAGGGGGAGGGGUUAUCUGAGGUCCCCCCAUCCUCAAACACACAGAGACAGAAGGUGGGACACUGGCUCCCAGGGCUGGAUGGGGAGGGGUUAUCUGAGGUCCCCCCAUCGUCAAACGCACAGAGACAGAAGGUGGGACACUGGCUCCCAGGGCUGGAGGGGGAGGGGUUAGCUGAGGUCCCCCAUCCUCAAACACACAGAGACAGAAGGUGGGACAGUGGCUGCUGGUCUGGAUGGGGAGGGGUUAUCUGAGGUCCCCCCAUCGUCAAACGCACAGAGACAGAAGGUAGGACACUGGCUCCCAGGGCUGGAGGGGGAGGGGUUAUCUGAGGUCCCCCCACUGUCAAACACACAGAGACAGAAGGUGGG
rnacentral:lncRNA from 1 species